UGUCAUAACGACUCUCGGCAACGGAUAUCUCGGCUCCCGCAUCGAUGAAGAACGUAGCAAAAUGCGAUACUUGGUGUGAAUUGCAGAAUCCCGUGAACCAUCGAGUCUUUGAACGCAAGUUGCGCCCGAAGCCAUUAGGCCGAGGGCACGUCUGCCUGGGCGUCACGC
rnacentral:rRNA from 1 species